rnacentral:rRNA from 1 species
AAAUUGAAGAGUUUGAUCAUGGCUCAGAUUGAACGCUGGCGGCAGGCCUAACACAUGCAAGUCGAGCGGUAGCACAGAGAGCUUGCUCUCGGGUGACGAGCGGCGGACGGGUGAGUAAUGUCUGGGAAACUGCCUGAUGGAGGGGGAUAACUACUGGAAACGGUAGCUAAUACCGCAUAACGUCGCAAGACCAAAGUGGGGGACCUUCGGGCCUCAUGCCAUCAGAUGUGCCCAGAUGGGAUUAGCUAGUAGGUGGGGUAACGGCUCACCUAGGCGACGAUCCCUAGCUGGUCUGAGAGGAUGACCAGCCACACUGGAACUGAGACACGGUCCAGACUCCUACGGGAGGCAGCAGUGGGGAAUAUUGCACAAUGGGCGCAAGCCUGAUGCAGCCAUGCCGCGUGUGUGAAGAAGGCCUUCGGGUUGUAAAGCACUUUCAGCGGGGAGGAAGGCGGUGAGGUUAAUAACCUCAUCGAUUGACGUUACCCGCAGAAGAAGCACCGGCUAACUCCGUGCCAGCAGCCGCGGUAAUACGGAGGGUGCAAGCGUUAAUCGGAAUUACUGGGCGUAAAGCGCACGCAGGCGGUCUGUCAAGUCGGAUGUGAAAUCCCCGGGCUCAACCUGGGAACUGCAUUCGAAACUGGCAGGCUAGAGUCUUGUAGAGGGGGUAGAAUUCCAGGUGUAGCGGUGAAAUGCGUAGAGAUCUGGAGGAAUACCGGUGGCGAAGGCGGCCCCUGGACAAAGACUGACGCUCAGGUGCGAAAGCGUGGGGAGCAAACAGGAUUAGAUACCCUGGUAGUCCACGCCGUAAACGAUGUCGAUUUGGAGGUUGUGCCCUUGAGGCGUGGCUUCCGGAGCUAACGCGUUAAAUCGACCGCCUGGGGAGUACGGCCGCAAGGUUAAAACUCAAAUGAAUUGACGGGGGCCCGCACAAGCGGUGGAGCAUGUGGUUUAAUUCGAUGCAACGCGAAGAACCUUACCUGGUCUUGACAUCCACAGAACUUAGCAGAGAUGCUUUGGUGCCUUCGGGAACUGUGAGACAGGUGCUGCAUGGCUGUCGUCAGCUCGUGUUGUGAAAUGUUGGGUUAAGUCCCGCAACGAGCGCAACCCUUAUCCUUUGUUGCCAGCGGUUCGGCCGGGAACUCAAAGGAGACUGCCAGUGAUAAACUGGAGGAAGGUGGGGAUGACGUCAAGUCAUCAUGGCCCUUACGACCAGGGCUACACACGUGCUACAAUGGCAUAUACAAAGAGAAGCGACCUCGCGAGAGCAAGCGGACCUCAUAAAGUAUGUCGUAGUCCGGAUUGAGUCUGCAACUCGACUCCAUGAAGUCGGAAUCGCUAGUAAUCGUAGAUCAGAAUGCUACGGUGAAUACGUUCCCGGGCCUUGUACACACCGCCCGUCACACCAUGGGAGUGGGUUGCAAAAGAAGUAGGUAGCUUAACCUUCGGGAGGGCGCUUACCACUUUGUGAUUCAUGACUGGGGUGAAGUCGUAACAAGGUAACCGUAGGGGAACCUGCGGUUGGAUCACCUCCUUA